rnacentral:rRNA from 1 species
GACGAACGCUGGCGGCGUGCUUAACACAUGCAAGUCGAACGAGGCCCCUCCUUCGGGAGGGUGUCCUAGUGGCGAACGGGUGAGUAACACGUGGGCAACCUGCCCCCGGCUCUGGGAUAACCCCAAGAAAUUGGGGCUAAUACCGGAUAUGACCGCUGACCGCAUGGUCGGUGGUGGAAAGAUUUAUCGGCUGGGGAUGGGCCCGCGGCCUAUCAGCUUGUUGGUGGGGUAGUGGCCCACCAAGGCGACGACGGGUAGCCAGCCUGAGAGGGUGACCGGCCACACUGGGACUGAGACACGGCCCAGACUCCUACGGGAGGCAGCAGUGGGGAAUAUUGCGCAAUGGGCGGAAGCCUGACGCAGCGACGCCGCGUGAGGGAUGACGGCCUUCGGGUUGUAAACCUCUUUCAGCAGGGACGAAGCGCAAGUGACGGUACCUGCAGAAGAAGCACCGGCCAACUACGUGCCAGCCGCCGCCGUAAAAC